rnacentral:rRNA from 1 species
GAUGAACGCUGGCGGCGUGCCUAAUACAUGCAAGUCGAGCGAACGGACGAGAAGCUUGCUCCCCUGAUGUUAGCGGCGGACGGGCGAGUAACACGUGGAUAACCUACUUAUAAGACUGGGAUAAUUUCGGGAAACCGGAGCUAAUACCAGAUAAUAUUUUGAACCGCAUGGUUCAAAAGUGAAAGACGGUCUUGGUGUCACUUAUAGAUGGAUCCGCGCUGCAUUAGCUAGUUGGUAAGGUAACGGCUUACCAAGGCAACGAUGCAUAGCCGACCUGAGAGGGUGAUCGGCCACACUGGAACUGAGACACGGUCCAGACUCCUACGGGAGGCAGCAGUAGGGAAUCUUCCGCAAUGGGCGCAAGCCUGACGGAGCAACGCCGCGUGAGUGAUGAAGGUCUUCGGGUCGUAAAACUCUGUUAUUAGGAAAGAACAGAUGUGUAAGUAACUGUGCACAUCUUGACGGUACCUAAUCAGAAAGCCACGGCUAACUACGUG